rnacentral:rRNA from 1 species
AUUGAACGCUGGCGGCAGGCCUAACACAUGCAAGUCGAACGAGUGGCGGACGGGUGAGUAAUGUCUGGGAAACUGCCUGAUGGAGCGGGAUAAAUACUGGAAACGGUAGCUAAUACCGCAUACCAUCGGAUGUGCCAAGAUGGGAUUAGCUAGUAGGUGGGGUAACGGCUCACCUAGGCGACGAUCCCUAGCUGGUCUGAGAGGAUGACCAGCCACACUGGAACUGAGACACGGUCCAGACUCCUACGGGAGGCAGCAGUGGGGAAUAUGGCACAAUGGUCGCAAGCCUGAUGCAGCCAGGCCGCGUGUAGGAAGAAGGCCUUCGGGUUGUAAAGUACUUUCAGCGGGGAGGCGUUACCCGCAGAAGAAGCACCGGCUAACUCCGUGCCAGCAGCCGCGGUAAUUC